GACGAACGCUGGCGGCGUGCUUAACACAUGCAAGUCGAACGGAAAGGCCCUGCUUUCGUGGGGUGCUCGAGUGGCGAACGCGUGCGUAACACGUGUGUAACCUGCCCUACUCUUUGGGAUAACUUCAGGAAACUGGGGUUAAUAUCGGAUAGGAGCCCCUGCUGCAUGGUGGGGGUUGGAAAGUUUCGGCGGUCGGGGAUGGACUCGCGGAUUAUCAGCUUGCUGGUGGGGGAGUGGCUUACCAAGUCUUUGACGGGUCGGCCGCCUGUGAGGGUGAACGGGCACAAUGCUACUAAGGGACGGAGCAGACGCCUACAGUAGGCAGCAGUGGCGAAUAUUACACAAUCGGCGGAAGUCGGAGGCAGCGGCGCCGCGUGCGUGAUGACGGCCUUCGGGUUAUGAACAGCAGUCGGCUGUGACGAAGCGGGAGUGACGGUAAUGAGUGAAGAAGCACCGGCUAACUACGUG
rnacentral:rRNA from 1 species